rnacentral:lncRNA from 1 species
AUAAUUCGCAAAUAAUUAUUUUUAUUCAAAAAAUUAUAUAUUUUUUUUUCAAAUUUUUUCAAAAAAAUACGAAAACGUCUAUUUAAUUUGAUUUUUUAAAAAUUCACGAAUAAUUCGCGAAUAAUUUACGAAUAAACUAACUAUACUCUUGAGCCCAAAUUUUUUUUUGCAUUUAACCUCCUUAAAAUCUUUUUAUUUUAUAAAUGAACCAAUUAAAAUUAUAAAAGUAGAGACGAUCUUGUAUUUGCACACGUAGGCACACGUUGUAUUUAGAAUAGCUUAUUAUGUUAUUAACUAAACACGGAAAAAAAAUUACCGUGUUCAUUUGAAAUAUUUCGCAUGAUGCCUAUGUCUACAUGCGGAGUCAUUUCUACAUUCAUAAUUUUGACAAGAUUAUUUAUAAAAUAAAAUUUCUAAAUGCAAACAAAGCCCUCUCCGGUAUCAUAGUUAGUUAAUUCGGAUUCGGCAAAAAUUCAGUAUAGAUAUAAUAUGAAUAAAAUUUGUCAAUUAUUCGAAUAUGCAAUUUAUACGAAAGUUAUUAGUUUACCGUUAAAAAAUUCGGUGUAAAAAACUAGGCAAUUAAAUUAAACUUUUU